UACAGAGGGGGGCAAGCGUUAUUCGGAAUUAUUGGGCGUAAAGGGCGCGUAGGCGGCUUGGCAAGUGGAAGGUGAAAUCCCUCGGCUUAACCGAGGAACUGCCCUCCAAACUGCUUCGCUUGAGACCGGGGAGAGGUGAGUGGAAUUCCCAGUGUAGCGGUGAAAUGCGUAGAUAUUGGGAGGAACACCAGUGGCGAAGGCGGCUCACUGGACCGGUACUGACGCUGAUGCGCGAAAGCGUGGGGAGCAAACGGG
rnacentral:rRNA from 1 species